UUUUGGGAUCUAACACUACAAAAAACCACUGUAUACUAACGGAAUCAUUGGUGGCGCGACUUCUGUGGGUAAUCACUGAUGGCUUUCUGGCGAAUCUAUGACGAAGUUUUUUUCUGCUUUUUCCGCGUGAAUUACCUAUGGAAUCACUGACGGGUAAAACUUCUGAUGGAAAGCCGGAAAAACUGUUGCCGAUGAAGCUUUACCGUUGGUAGUCUGUCGGUGUUUGUUUUAGUAAAAUAGGCCUCGGGCUUUUUCCCUUUCAGAUUUGGUGCCCUAACUUCAAAAUUCUCCUCCGACGAAUCGAGAGCUCUUCAUUUCGAUGAUCGAGAGCUCUUCACGUCUUUAUCUCUCUCGCUCUCUUCUCUAUCUCUAUCUCUCUUAUGCUCUCACUCACUCUCUUUGUGUUUCUCGCACAGGUGUUAUAUGUCCGUCACUGAGUCAUCCCACCACCGCCGCUGAAACUGUGCCGCCACCGCUGAAACCACGCCGUCUAUCCUGCCAGGCCUCGAAUAUCUUCUCUCCAUGCUUUCUUCCAACCACAGUGAACCCAACUUAUGCCGUUGUAGACAACAUCGUCGAAGUGUCGUAGCCAAAGAAGUCGAAGCCCAGCACCGGGUACACAUCGGCGAAGACGAAGCUCAUUUGUAUGUUGUGGGUGGAGGCUACCCACAACCCAAUUACGGGAAUGGAGAAAAAGGGAACCCAAUAUUGGGGAGAUAUCACCAGAAAAUACAACGAUGAUCGGUAUGAUGGGGCUCAUGUUCGUGACAAGAAACAGAUCAAACCUCACUUUCAACGCGAUCAAAAGGAUGUCAAGGUGUGGGAGGCGAUUUACGAGAAAUGUAAAGCCAAUUGUGCUAGCGGAAUAAAUGAUGAGCAAAUAACUGAACAAGCACAUGAGAUCUACGAGGCCAACAAUUCAAUGAGAUUCAAGCACUUUGAAGCUUGGAUGCUUUUGCGCGAAUGUCAGCGGUUCGCUCGUUGAAGAAGUCGAAGGGCUCGGAAGGACAGGCCACGACAACAUCUUCUGAGCCAAGUAUCACGACGAGGCCCCAAGGCCAGAAUGCGGCAAAGCGCGACAAAGGCAAGUGAAAAAAGUGGAGUCAUCAACGGAGAAGACUCAAUACUACGAAGCAAUGAAACGUGUUUCCAAAGGAAUCGAGGUAUUUACCACCUCAACCAAUUCUCUCGCCGAAGCAAAAUCCAAAGUCGUUGAAGUAAAAUAAAAGUUGUCGAUGUGAAAAGGGAGACGCUCGAUUACAAAAUCCUCAAUACGGAUACUUCAAAUAUGUCAGAAAUGCAUUUGGCAUGGCACAAGAACAUGCUCAAAGAAGUGCUCAAGCGUAGAGGAUUGAUGUAGUCUAGAUUAAAUUAUUGUAAUUUUUUUAAUUAAUGUAAUUUUGAAUUUUAAUUACUAAAUUAUUAUAAUUUUUA